GAUGAACGCUGGCGGCGUGCUUAACACAUGCAAGUCGAACGGAAAGGCCCAAGCUUGCUUGGGUACUCGAGUGGCGAACGGGUGAGUAACACGUGGGUGAUCUGCCCUGCACUUCGGGAUAAGCCUGGGAAACUGGGUCUAAUACCGGAUAGGACCACAUUUUGGAUGGUGUGGUGGAAAGUUUUUCGGUGUGGGAUGAGCUCGCGGCCUAUCAGCUUGUUGGUGGGGUAAUGGCCUACCAAGGCGUCGACGGGUAGCCGGCCUGAGAGGGUGUACGGCCACAUUGGGACUGAGAUACGGCCCAGACUCCUACGGGAGGCAGCAGUGGGGAAUAUUGCACAAUGGGCGCAAGCCUAAUGCAGCGACGCCGCGUGGGGGAUGACGGCCUUCGGGUUGUAAACUCCUUUCGCUAGGGACGAAGCGUUUUUGUGACGGUACCUGGAGAAGAAGCACCGGCUAACUACGUG
rnacentral:rRNA from 1 species